rnacentral:misc_RNA from 1 species
GGAAGGAUCAUUAACAAACAUUUGAACUAAUAACUAACUGAACUUGACAGUCGGAGCAAUCCUGCUGUUCUCUGAAACUAAACGAACAACCCCAUAAACCAAUCUAUGGUUGACAAAACUUAAAUUUUCAACGAUGGAUGUCUUGGCUCCCAUAUCGAUGAAGAACGCAGCAAGAAUGCGAAAUGCAAUGUGAAUUGCAGAACCACGAAUCAUCGGAUCUUUGAACGCAACUGGCGCUAGCUUAGCUAGCAUACUUGUUUCAGUGUGCUUAAACAACUAAACAAUCUAAAUGUGAGAGAACAUCUCUCAUCAAGUACAUGCUCCCUGCAGCAGUCACAGUCAUAUGUGAGCUUCAAGGAAGACAACCGACUUACUGCCACCUGAAAUCAAGUAAGAUGACCCGCUGGACUUAAGCAUAUUACUAAGCGGAGGAAAAGAAAUUAACAAAGAUUACCUUAGUAAGGGCGACUGAACCGGUAAAAGCUCGAAAUUGGAAUCGGGGAUUCAAAGAAUCUUCGAAUUGUAAUCAGGUUCGCCGAAAUACGAAAGCUCACUUAAUCAAGUUGAAACUUGAGCCAAGGAGGGUGAAAGCCCCGUGUAGUGUUCUUUCGAAACAGGGGAACUAAAAAAGAGUCGGGUUGCUUGGAACUGCAGCCCUAAGUGGGAGAUAUGAAUCUUCCAAAGCUAAAUAAGGAUGGGAGACCGAUAGCGAACAAGUACUGUGAAGGAAAGAUGAAAAGGACUUUGAAAAGAGAGUGAAAAGAUCUGAAAUCGUUGAGAAGGAAGCGGUAGAAACUGAUGGUCGUGCUGAUGGAUAUCGCGGUGAACAGCUGCGUAGUUCCUACCAGAGCGACGGGCAAAAUCAAGUUAAACACAUCAAAAAAGGCUAAGCCGAGUAGGGUGUGAUUGACUUGAGGGACUAAUGUGAUUUUGCCAAAAUGGUUUCUACUGUCCCGUCUUGAAACACGGACCAAGGAGUCUAACCUAUAUGCGAGUGUGCGAGUGGAGAAACUCAUACGCGAAAUGAAAGUGAAAGGUGCGCAGCGCAAGCGGCAGCAUCGACCGACCUAGUAUGAAAGGUUUGAGUAAGAGCAUAUAUGUUAGGACCCGAAAGAUGGUGAACUAUGCCUGAGUAGGGUGAAGUCAGGGGAAACCCUGAUGGAGGCUCGAAGCGUUGUUGACGUGCAAAUCACUCGUCGAACUUGGGUAUAGGGGCGAAAGACUAAUCGAACCAUCUAGUAGCUGGUUCCCUC